GACCUCAGAUCAGGUAGGGAUACCCGCUGAACUUAAGCAUAUCAAUAAGCGGAGGAAAAGAAACCAACAGGGAUUGCCUUAGUAACGGCGAGUGAAGCGGCAAAAGCUCAGAUUUGAAAUCUGGCGUCUUUGGCGUCCGAGUUGUAAUCUGUAGAGGAGUGUUCGAGUGUGGAUUUGGCUUAAGUUCCUUGGAACAGGGCGUCAUAGAGGGUGAGAACCCCGUUAGCGGCCUAUGUCUUAUGCUCAUGUGAACCUUCUUCGACGAGUCGAGUUGUUUGGGAAUGCAGCUCUAAAUUGGUGGUAAAUUCCAUCUAAAGCUAAAUACUGGCAAGAGACCGAUAGCGCACAAGUAGAGUGAUCGAAAGAUGAAAAGAACUCUGAACAGAGAGUUAAAUAGUACGUGAAAUUGUUGAAAGGGAAGCACUUGCAACCAGACAUGCUUGUAGUUGAUCAGCCUCCAUUCUUGGUGGUGCACUCUUCUACAGGUGGGUCAGCAUCAGUUACAAUGAUGGGAUAAAGACUUUGGGAAUGUAGCUUCUUUCGGGGAGUGUUAUAGCCUGAGGUGUAAUACUAUUUGAUGUGACUGAGGACCGCGCUUCGGCGAGGAUGCUGGCAUAAUGGUCGUAAGUGACCCGUCUUGAAACACGGACCAAGGAGUCUAACAUCUAUGCGAGUGUUUGGGCGUCAAAACCCUUACGCGUAAUGAAAGUGAAUGUAGGUGGGAACCGCAAGGUGCACCAUCGACCGAUCCUGAUGUUCUCGGAUGGAUUUGAGUAGGAGCAUAGCUGUUGGGACCCGAAAGAUGGUGAACUAUGCCUGAAUAGGGUGAAGCCAGAGGAAACUCUGGUGGAGGCUCGCAGCGGUUCUGACGUGCAAAUCGAUCGUCAAAUUUGGGUAUAGGGCGAAAGAC
rnacentral:rRNA from 1 species